GACGAAGGUGGCGAGCGUUGUUCGGAAUCACUGGGCAUAAAGAGCUCGUAGGCGGCUUGUUGCGUCGGCUGUGAAAACCCGCGGCUUAACCGUGGGCUUGCAGCCGAUACGGGCAGGCUUGAGUUUGGGAGAGGGAUGCGGAAUUCCAGGUGUAGCGGUGAAAUGCGUAGAUAUCUGGAGGAACACCGGUGGCGAAGGCGGCAUCCUGGACCAACACUGACACUGAGGAGCGAAAGCCAGGGGAGCAAACGGG
rnacentral:rRNA from 1 species